rnacentral:rRNA from 1 species
CGUAGGGCGCAAGCGUUGUCCGGAAUUAUUGGGCGUAAAGAGCUCGUAGGCGGUCUGUCGCGUCGGAUGUGAAAGCCCGGGGCUUAACCCCGGGUCUGCAUUCGAUACGGGCAGACUAGAGUGUGGUAGGGGAGAUCGGAAUUCCUGGUGUAGCGGUGAAAUGCGCAGAUAUCAGGAGGAACACCGGUGGCGAAGGCGGAUCUCUGGGCCAUUACUGACGCUGAGGAGCGAAAGCGUGGGGAGCGAACAGGAUUAGAUACCCUGGUAGUCCACGCCGUAAACGGUGGGAACUAGGUGUUGGCGACAUUCCACGUCGUCGGUGCCGCAGCUAACGCAUUAAGUUCCCCGCCUGGGGAGUACGGCCGCAAGAUUA